rnacentral:rRNA from 1 species
GGGGAGUACGGCCGCAAGGUUAAAACUCAAAUGAAUUGACGGGGGCCCGCACAAGCGGUGGAGCAUGUGGUUUAAUUCGAUGCAACGCGAAGAACCUUACCUGGUCUUGACAUCCACAGAACUUUCCAGAGAUGGAUUGGUGCCUUCGGGAACUGUGAGACAGGUGCUGCAUGGCUGUCGUCAGCUCGUGUUGUGAAAUGUUGGGUUAAGUCCCGCAACGAGCGCAACCCUUAUCCUUUGUUGCCAGCGGUCCGGCCGGGAACUCAAAGGAGACUGCCAGUGAUAAACUGGAGGAAGGUGGGGAUGACGUCAAGUCAUCAUGGCCCUUACGGCCAGGGCUACACACGUGCUACAAUGGCGCAUACAAAGAGAAGCGACCUCGCGAGAGCAAGCGGACCUCAUAAAGUGCGUCGUAGUCCGGAUUGGAGUCUGCAACUCGACUCCAUGAAGUCGGAAUCGCUAGUAAUCGUGGAUCAGAAUGCCACGGUGAAUACGUUCCCGGGCCUUGUACACACCGCCCGUCACACCAUGGGAGUGGGUUGCAAAAGAAGUAGGUAGCUUAACCUUCGGGAGGGCGCUUACCACUUUGUGAUUCAUGACUGGGGUGAAGUCGUAACAAGGUAACCGUAGGGGAACCUGCGGUUGGAUCACCUCCUUACCUUAAAGAAGC